AUUAGCUAGUUGGUGAGGUAACGGCUCACCAAGGCUCCGAUCGGUAGCCGGCCUGAGAGGGCGGACGGCCACACUGGGACUGAGACACGGCCCAGACUCCUACGGGAGGCAGCAGUGGGGAAUUGUUCGCAAUGGGCGCAAGCCUGACGACGCAACGCCGCGUGGAGGAUGAAGAUCUUCGGGUCGUAAACGGCUAACUCCGUGCCAGCAGCCGCGGUAAUACGGGGGGGGCAAGCGUUGUUCGGAAUUACUGGGCGUAAAGGGCUCGUAGGUGGCCCGCUAAGUUGGACGUGAAAUCCCUCGGCUCAACCGGGGAACUGCGUCCAAGACUGGCGGGCUUGAAUCCGGGAGAGGGACGUGGAAUUCCAGGUGUAGCGGUGAAAUGCGUAGAUAUCUGGAGGAACACCGGUGGCGAAGGCGGCGUCCUGGACCGGUAUUGACACUGAGGAGCGAAAGCCAGGGGAGCAAACGGGAUUAGAUACCCCGGUAGUCCUGGCCCUAAACGAUGAGUGCUUGGUGUGGCGGGUAUCGAUCCCUGCCGUGCCGGAGCUAACGCGUUAAGCACUCCGCCUGGGGAGUACGGUCGCAAG
rnacentral:rRNA from 1 species